AUGAUGAUGCGGACGGCCAGCAGGGAGGCUGAGCUGCUGCCGGGUAUUUGGUUUCCUUGUCCUUCCACUUGCUGAGGUCCAUCCGCGGUAGGACGGAGCUCUUGCACGACACUCGAGGAUUGCUAUAACAUUGGAUCACUUGAUGUCCGAUGCUAACCAAGGGUCAUUGGAAAGAUCGUAAAAAAAUGUUUAAGGAAAAACAUAAAGUUGUAGGGCAGUACAUUUGUAUCUCGUUGCUAGCUUUGGAUCGAUACCGGGAACUUUCUUCACACUCUCCAUAUCUUUUAGAAAGGCUGUCACUCCUCACAUCCGACAUAUGUGAAACAAGCCUGACUAUUAAACCCAACUUUUUACAUCAAAAGAUUUCCAGCCAAUGAAGCGGUUUUAGAGCAAAACGGAAUCAAGAUGGUUUUAUCGCAACACCUUUUUAAAAUUUGAAUUACUCAUAAGCUGUAGUUACCAAGUAAAAACGAACUUUAAAUUACUAUUAUAUAGUGCUAAUACUAACUAAAUAAGUCGUUAAUGUUGGAAAUUCACCGCUAGGCUAUCCUGGUAAUAAUAAAAUACUUUUUUAUUGCCACAAAAGAUGUCGUAGCAGUAGACAGCUUUGACUGUCAUGCAUGGCCUGCUGUCCAACAUGGUCUCCACGGUAUAUACCGACCGUUCGCUAAGAUUGCGUUCCUGCUUUCCCUCUCUGUAGUCCUAUCUACAAGUAGUGCCGCCAACGGCCGAAGGGGGAAUUAAAAGCUUCUAGACAGUUUUGACAAACGAAAUUUACUGGCGGUAAUUUACAAGUGGUUACUACUUUGUGAUAAAAUCAGUGCCUCGACUUAAACCAUGGAUAAUUUAGAAGAUGAAAAGGAUUUAAGAAGAGCGCUAAAGUACGAGGAGAAAAAAGCAAAGCAAAGGGAGAAGAGAAGAUUAGGACCUAAUGGUGGGACUGGAGCUAAAGGAUAUGGUCUUUUUAAAAAAGAUAGGUUGUUCCCACAAGCAGAUAAACCUGCUUCUUCAACAAAGUUGCCUAACAAACCUAAGGCGAAGAAAAUAAAAAGAGUUACUGUGAAAUCACCAGAAUUCCUAACUGGUGGUUGUGCAGAAAAUUCUUGUAACCAAAAACAAUAUCCUGAAAAAACCAAGGAUGGUGAUAGCAAUCAACAAGAAGGCAAUGAGAUUCAAACACCAACAGAAGAAGUAACGAGUAAGUUACGAUAUGCUGCUGUCAUGAAACAACAGGCAAUCGUGGCAAUAGAUUUACCCAUUUGCUAAUGUCUUUUGGGACAAUUUUGGACAAUUUUGAAAAUUAUUCAUUAAUAUUUGAUUGUCUCAAGCAGACUAGCUUACUGCCGUUAGACAUGUUAGUGUAAGAAUAUCCAGGCAGAAUUUCUAGCAACACAUCGUUUGGUACUGUCCCUUCUUUAAUUUUAAAAGACAUGCUGUAUGUCUCAUCAAUUAAGAUUUUAGAUCCGAGAGCCCUCAGCAAAUACAACAACAAGCCCAUAUACAAGUUGUGGUUCAAGAUUCGUACAACUAGGAUUCGGCCGAACACCCAUUCAGAAUAGAAUGCUUGACAGGUAAAAGGAUGAGUGUUUACGUUGCAAAUGUGAAACACAUGGAAAAGGGCUGACAAAAUGGCGAUUUUGAUUACACAGAUUUGGAACUUAAGGUUUCUUGUGUUGGUUAUUUCAAGGCAGAAAUAACUGUCCUAAAAACAAUUGGUACGACAUGCUCAUCUAUUCUUCUCAAUGACAAAAUGAGAAAAAUGGAUCAAGUAACGUUAAGGAACCAAAAGAUUCCUUGCAGCUGAUGAGAUUAAUAAGGCCAUCAAGCUUCAACCUUCCAUUUCCAUGUAUCUGAAAACUUCGGUGAGGCAAAGAAAAUUUUAGUCUUAUUCUUCGACCCAUCCUUAGGAAACAUAAAGAUCAAUAAGAUCACGAAAAACGACGGGAAGGAAUACUCAAACAAACAAAAUGUGGAGUUUUGCAUCAACGAUGGGUUUGUUUUGGUUCGGAUUCAAAAGCACAAGCUGCUUACGUUGAAUAACAUCGUCUGAUCUACGAUUAGCUCUGGUUCAAAAAUCAAUAAAUUUUAAGUAUUACUACUUAACCAUGGACAGGAUUUCAUCAUUCAGGCUAUUAAGCCUAAUUCAGGCUAAUUUUAAUCAUUCUUCCUUCAUAUUAGGCAAAACGCUGCUGAAAGAAAAGUAGAUACCUAUGGAGGAAGGUUACGCAAAGUGCGAUGUACAUGCAAUGAGGACUUGAAAAGUCCUUGGAAGAUCUUUGUUGACAAUACGAUUUGACUGUAAGAACUUCUCCCGAAGAUUCAGAUGAGGUUGAGAAUGAGAUCAUUCAGUUUGUUUUGGAUGCGAUGGUAUGGAUCCCUCUACAUGGGAGCCAAAGAUUGCCCUGUAGAUUUUCGAAGAGAUCUUGAUCGUAUUAAAGCAGCAUCUCACUAUGCUGAUGAAGAUCUGUUAAAUCACAUUUCAACAAGCUUUUAAUGCAAUUAUAGAUGGGAUCCCUUAAGAUCGCUUGGAGUCGACGUCAAAAAUAAACUUAGGAUUUUUAUGGGCGAUUAAUUCAAACGACAGCGGAAGAUACGGAACGUUACAAAAUAGAAGGAUGCUCUCUAUAUACAGUAGAGAACUACUUGUAGUGCAUCAAUUCGUUGGUCAGUUAGUGAUAUUCUGCAAAUUUUAUGAAGAGAAUUUUCAUCGUGCUAAAGUUGUACCAGGUAUAUCAGCACCCUUAGAGUUCUUUCACAGUGCGAUGCCUAAAACAAUUCUGCUUGUUACACAUAAGAACGGCUGUCGGAGCAUUGGUAAAUCUGGCCCUCGAAAGUCAAAUGACGUUAGACUUUUCGUUUUGCUUGUAUGGCAUCAAUGAGCCCCAUCAGGGAAUUCGUAGGCCUGAAACGAAUUUUCCUCAAUGAUAUUGAGAUUUAUGACUUUGUUUCUCGGCAACUUUCAGGAUUAAAGAUAUUAACGCCUCGAAGCCCACCUGUUAUCUUCACCCAACUUCUAAUCAAUUACCACCCGGAAUAUACGCUACGAGUAAAAGGGAGGAUAGAAAAAAGAAUGCCCGGAGAAGCAAUUGAUUCUUUUGCAAUCAGUAUGUCCUUUCGUAACCUCCUAAUUGCUA